CAGUCGCCACGGUAAUACGAAGGGGGCUAGCGUUGUUCGGAUUUACUGGGCGUAAAGGGUGCGUAGGCGGACUGAUAAGUCAGGGGUGAAAUCCCAAGGCUCAACCUUGGAACUGCCUUUGAUACUGUUAGUCUUGAGUUCGGGAGAGGUGAGUGGAACUGCGAGUGUAGAGGUGAAAUUCGUAGAUAUUCGCAAGAACACCAGUGGCGAAGGCGGCUCACUGGCUCGAAACUGACGCUGAGGCACGAAAGCGUGGGGAGCAAACAGGAUUAGAUACCCCGUAGUCCCUGUCUCUUAUACA
rnacentral:rRNA from 1 species